UACGGGGGGGGUAAGCGUUGUUCGGAAUUACUGGGCGUAAAGGGCUCGUAGGCGGCCAACUAAGUCAGACGUGAAAUCCCUCAGCUUAACUGGGGAACUGCGUCUGAUACUGGAUGGCUUGGAUUCGGGAGAGGAAUGCGGAAUUCCAGGUGUAGCGGUGAAAUGCGUAGAUAUCUGGAGGAACACCGGUGGCGAAGGCGGCAUUCUGGACCGAUAUUGACGCUGAGGCGCGAAAGCCAGGGGGAGCAAACGGGG
rnacentral:rRNA from 1 species